rnacentral:piRNA from 1 species
ACAUCGGAUACCCAAGGAGACGA